GAUGAACGCUGGCGGCGUGCCUAAUACAUGCAAGUCGAGCGGAAGGACGAGAAGCUUGCUUCUCUUACGUUAGCGGCGGACGGGGGAGUAAAACGUCGAUAACCCACCUAUAAGACUGGGAUAACUUAGGGAAAACGGUGCUAAUAACGGCUAAUAUUUUGAACCGCAUGGUUGAAAAGUGACGGACGGUCUUGCUGUCACUUAUAGAUGGAUCCGCGCUGCAUUAGCUAGUUGGUAAGGUAACGGCUUACCAAGGCAACGAUGCAUAGCCGACCUGAGAGGGUGAUCGGCCACACUGGAACUGAGACACGGUCCAGACUCCUACGGGAGGCAGCAGUAGGGAAUCUUGCGCAAUGGGCGAAAGCCUGACGGAGCAACGCCGCGUGUGUGAUGAAGGUCUUCGGAUCGUAAAGCUCUGUUAUUAGGGAAGAACAGAUUUAUAAGUAUCUGUGCACAUCUUGACGGUACCUAAUCAGAAAGCCACGGCUAACUACGUG
rnacentral:rRNA from 1 species